rnacentral:rRNA from 1 species
GAUGAACGCUGGCGGCGUGCUUAACACAUGCAAGUCGAACGGGAAACCUUUUAUUGAAGCUUCGGCAGAUUUAGCUGGUUUCUAGUGGCGGACGGGUGAGUAACGCGUGGGUAACCUGCCUUAUACAGGGGGAUAACAGUCAGAAAUGGCUGCCAAUACCGCAUAAGCGCACAGAGCUGCAUGGCUCAGUGUGAAAAACUCCGGUGGUAUAAGAUGGACCCGCGUUGGAUUAGCUGGUUGGUGGGGUAACGGCCCACCAAGGCGACGAUCCAUAGCCGGCCUGAGAGGGUGAACGGCCACAUUGGGACUGAGACACGGCCCAGACUCCUACGGGAGGCAGCAGUGGGGAAUAUUGCACAAUGGGGGAAACCCUGAUGCAGCGACGCCGCGUGAAGGAAGAAGUAUCUCGGUAUGUAAACUUCUAUCAGCAGGGAAGACAAUGACGGUACCUGACGAAGAAGCCCCGGCUAACUACGUG